rnacentral:rRNA from 1 species
AUGACUUUUAGUUAUAGAGAUUGUACUGGAAGCUGUUGCUGUAUCAUUGCAGCGUUGCAUUGCAUAUUUGCGCACUUAGUACUUACUGCCAUGGCAUGUUCAUGUCAAGAGCCAUUGGUUGAUGAGCUGCUUCCUACAGUGUUUUGUGGCCCUGCCAGGUUUCUCUGCACUGAUAGUGUGCAGUUGAGAAGUAUGAUGUGCCAAACAGAUUUAAAAUCACAAACUGGUCCAAAUUUGAACUUUUCGCUUAUUGAAAUUUGCUAUCUUAUUCGGAUUUAUGUUAAACUUUAUCAUAUCAGUUUCAUCACAUCCUCCAUUUUUCUGCCGCUUGCAACCUUUUGA